UAGGGAAUCUUCCGCAAUGGGCGAAAGCCUGACGGAGCAACGCCGCGUGAGUGAUGAAGGUCUUCGGAUCGUAAAACUCUGUUAUUAGGGAAGAACAAAUGUGUAAGUAACUAUGCACGUCUUGACGGUACCUAAUCAGAAAGCCACGGCUAACUACGUGCCAGCAGCCGCGGUAAUACGUAGGUGGCAAGCGUUAUCCGGAAUUAUUGGGCGUAAAGCGCGCGUAGGCGGUUUUUUAAGUCUGAUGUGAAAGCCCACGGCUCAACCGUGGAGGGUCAUUGGAAACUGGAAAACUUGAGUGCAGAAGAGGGAAGUGGAAUUCCGUGUGUAGGGGUGAAAUGCGCAGAGGUAUGGAGGAACACCAGUGGCGAAGGCGACUUUCUGGUCUGUAACUGACGCUGAUGUGCGAAAGCGUGGGGAUCAAACAGG
rnacentral:rRNA from 1 species